UAUACAUAUUUACUUUCGAGUAGUGUUUGAAAUCCAUGAAAUGAAACAUAUACGUCGAAUUUGACUUGGAUCCGUAAAUAUGUAUUGGAUUUGAUCCUGUCUCUAGUAAAAACACGUAUAAUAUCGAAAUUCGAGCGAUCGUUUUAACGAUUUCAUAUUUUUUGACAAUUGUUCUAGUCUCCCGAGUGGAAGAUGGCGAAUGUUCAACAAAGGGGGCGUGAAAAAUAAGAGCUAGAGACACGUCUGGAAAAAAGGAACGAAAAUACGCGGAGAUGAAUGAGAAAGGAAAAGCAAAGAGAAACGCGCACGAAAAAGUUGGAGUUUGCAAAGGAAAAAGUCUGGUGCCAUCAAGCUCUAUGUAGAGCCUUUCUUGAGACUACGACCACAAAGCGACUGAAAAAAGGGCAAACAAAAGGGAAAAAAGAGGAGAAAAAGAAAAGGAAAAGUAGAAGAAAGGAUAAAGAAUGGAACGAAGGAACGAUGCAGUUCAGCCAAUUACCUAGAUUCUGCGGCAACCAUCGGCGUCGUCCAUUUGAGAGGUUGUAAUUUUCUCCAUUCUUGUACCGGUCACCACAACCAUGACCACUGGCCAUCACGAGUUUCUAGAGAAUCUGUGUGUCGCUGGAACAAACUGGAUCGAAAGGUAUAUCGCGUUUUGGUCGGUGUAACAGGACCAACAGAACGGUAGGCAUCAAUUUCAUGCCACGCUCUGCGACGGAUAUUCACGAUGCGAUAUCGUUUAUUUUGAUUUGCUGGAUUCGUUAUCGGCUGCCCCCGUUUGCGCCGAGGGUGCUUGAGGGAUUAAGAGAUUUCGAUGGAGAAUUUAUGGCAGGGGCUUCUUCGCUGCUGGAACUUCAUAAAUACAAGGCCAGCUCUGAAAUUACGAAUAUCGGAAUGAUUCAUGUGAUUCAUAAUGGAAAAUAAAUGAAACAGUUGGAGAGGUCAAAAAAAUAUCCAUAGAUUUAAAUUGUUUCUACGGAUCGUUGCAACGAUUCGAUGGAUUUUUCCAAGUUGUGAGUUUGCUGCAGUUGUACAAACAUUCGAUCGAUUAUCGACGAACCGUGUAGCAUCGAAGAUGUUUACUUUACACUGCUACCAGGACAGAACAAAGAAAGCGAAAAGUGGGAUGACAAAUGGAAAAUUAAAAGGAGCAGGUCGUCGGGACGAGAAAAGCCAGAGAGAGAGAAAGAAAAAGGAAGAAAGAAAGAGGAAAAA